CCUACGGGAGACAGCAGUGGGGGAUAUUGCACAAUGGGGGGAACCCUGAUGCAGCGACGCCGCGUGGGUGAAGGAGUGCUUCGGCAUGUAAAGCCCUAUCGGCAGGGAAGAAGCAAGACGGUACCUGACUAAGAAGCCCCGGCUAAAUACGUGCCAGCAGCCGCGGUAAUACGUAGGGGGCGAGCGUUAUCCGGAUUCACUGGGUGUAAAGGGAGCGUAGACGGCCAUGCAAGCCAGGGGUGAAAGCCCGGGGCCCAACCCCGGGACUGCCCUUGGAACUGUUCGGCUAGAGUGCGGGAGGGGCAGGCGGAAUUCCUGGUGUAGCGGUGAAAUGCGUAGAUAUCAGGAGGAACACCGGCGGCGAAGGCGGCCUGCUGGACCGCGACUGACGUUGAGGCUCGAAAGCGUGGGGAGCGAACAGGAUUAGAUACCCCUGUAGUC
rnacentral:rRNA from 1 species